rnacentral:rRNA from 1 species
GAUGAACGCUGGCGGCGUGACUAAUACAUGCAAGUCGAGCGAACAGAUGAGGAGCUUGCUCCUGUGACAUUAGCGGCGGACGGGGGAGUAACACGUGGAGAACCUACAUAUAAGACUGGGAUAACUUCGGGAAACCGGAGCGAAUACCGGAGAAUAUAUUGAAACGAAUGGAUAAAUAGUGAAAGACGGUUUUGCUGUCACUUAUAGAUGGAUCCGCGCCGCAUUAGCUAGUUGGUAAGGUAACGGCUUACCAAGGCAACGAUGCGUAGCCGACCUGAGAUGGUGAUCGGCCACACUGGAACUGAGACACGGUCCAGACUCCUACGGGAGGCAGCAGUAGGGAAUCUUCCGCACUGGGCGAAAGCCUGACGGAGCAACGCCGCGUGAGUGAUGAAGGUCUUCCGAUCGUAAACCUCUGUUAUUAGGGAAGAACAAAUGUGUAAGUAACUAUGCACGUCUUGACGGUACCUAAUCAGAAAGCCACGGCUAACUCCGUG